rnacentral:rRNA from 1 species
AGUGGACGCUGGCGGUAGGCCUAACACAUGCAAGUCGAACGGCAGCACAGUAAGAGCUUGCUCUUACGGGUGGCGAGUGGCGGACGGGUGAGGAAUACAUCGGAAUCUACUUUUUCGUGGGGGAUAACGUAGGGAAACUUACGCUAAUACCGCAUACGACCUACGGGUGAAAGCAGGGGAUCUUCGGACCUUGCGCGAUUGAAUGAGCCGAUGUCGGAUUAGCUAGUUGGCGGGGUAAAGGCCCACCAAGGCGACGAUCCGUAGCAGGUCUGAGAGGAUGAUCAGCCACACUGGAACUGAGACACGGUCCAGACUCCUACGGGAGGCAGCAGUGGGGAAUAUUGGACAAUGGGCGCAAGCCUGAUCCAGCCAUACCGCGUGGGUGAAGAAGGCCUUCGGGUUGUAAAGCCCUUUUGUUGGGAAAGAAAAGCAGCAGGUUAAUACCCCGCUGUUCUGACGGUACCCAAAGAAUAAGCACCGGCUAACUUCGUG